UCAGACGAUGCGUCAUGCAUAUCAAUAAGCGGAGGAAAAGAAACUAACAAGGAUUCCCCUAGUAACGGCGAGUGAAGCGGGAAGAGCUCAAAUUUGAAAUCUUAAAGGGUUUCCCUUUACGAAUUGUAGUUUAAAGAAGUGUUUUCUGUUGAGGUUUUGGUAAAAGUUCUUUGGAAUAGGACAUCAUAGAGGGUGAGAAUCCCGUAUUUGACCUUUACUUUCAACUUUGUGAUACACUUUCAAAGAGUCGGAUUGUUUGGGAAUGCAGUCCAAAAUGGGUGGUAAAUUUCAUCUAAAGCUAAAUAUUGGCGAGAGACCGAUAGCGAACAAGUACCGUGAGGGAAAGAUGAAAAGAACUUUGAAAAGAGAGUUAAACAGUACGUGAAAUUGUCAAAAGGGAAGCGUUUGACACCAGUGUUGUUUUUCUGAAAAUCAAUUAAAGAACUGUUUAUGCUAAGUUGUUUAGACUUUAUCAGCUAUCUGUUUAGUUUUGAGCUUUUCUUUAAUGCACUUUUCAGUUAACAAGUCAACAUCAAUUUCUUUUGCUGUAAAAAAGCUUGAGGAAGGUGGCUUGAGAUUCGUCUUAAGUGUUUAUAGCCUCUUGCCUAUGCAGUCGGAGAGAUUGAGGUCUGCAGCGUAGAUCCUUCGGGGCUAAAUGCAUUUGUGCUAAGUUAUAGCAUUUCAUAGACAACUUGUUGACUAUGAUUUGUCUUGUAGCUUACUCGCUUAUGUUAUUUUACCUACGCUUAGGAUGUUGAGCGCAUGUCUCUCUCU
rnacentral:rRNA from 1 species